rnacentral:rRNA from 1 species
UGGGAGAUAGCUGGUUCUCCUCGAAAUAUAUUGAGGUAUAGCCUCGGAUGAACUGCGUUGGAGGUAAAGCACUGAAUGGGCUAGGGGUCCUACCAGACUACCAAACCCAAUCAAACUCUGAAUGCCAAUGACAGAUGUCCGGGAGUCAGGCAGCGGGAGAUAAGUUCCGUUGCCGAAAGGGAAAGAGCCCAGAUCGUCAGCUAAGGUCCCAAAGUCCGAACUCAGUGUCAAAGGAUGUGGAAACGCUUUGACAACCAGGAGGUUGGCUUAGAAGCAGCCAUCCUUUAAAGAAAGCGUAAUAGCUCACUGGUCAAGCGAGUCUGCGCCGAAAAUAUAACGGGGCUUAAGUUCGGCACCGAAGCUACGGGUUCUCGUAAGAGAGCGGUAGAGGAGCAUUGUGAGGCAG